GUGUCAUCGUUAGCACUCAGGACUUUGAAUCCUGCGACCCGAGUUCAAAUCUCGG
rnacentral:tRNA from 1 species